UACGGAGGGUGCAAGCGUUAUCCGGAUUUACUGGGUUUAAAGGGAGCGUAGGCGGAUCUUUAAGUGAGUGGUGAAAUCCUAGAGCUUAACUCUAGAACUGCCAUUCAUACUAUUGAUCUUGAAUUCGGUUGAGGUAGCUGGAAUGUGUCAUGUAGCGGUGAAAUGCUUAGAUAUGACACAGAACACCAAUUGCGAAGGCAGGUUGCUAAACCGACAUUGACGCUGAGGCUCGAAAGCGUGGGGAUCAAACAGG
rnacentral:rRNA from 1 species